GAUCCUGGCCCAGGAUGAACGCUAGCUACAGGCUUAACACAUGCAAGUCGAGGGGCAGCAUGGUCUUAGCUUGCUAAGGCUGAUGGCGACCGGCGCACGGGUGAGUAACACGUAUCCAACCUGCCGUCUACUCUUGGCCAGCCUUCUGAAAGGAAGAUUAAUCCAGGAUGGGGAUCAUGAGUUCACAUGUCCGCAUGAUUAAAGGUAUUUUCCGGUAGACGAUGGGG
rnacentral:rRNA from 1 species